rnacentral:rRNA from 1 species
UACGUAGGGGGCAAGCGUUGUCCGGAAUCAUUGGGCGUAAAGCGCGUGUAGGCGGCCCGGUAAGUCCGCUGUGAAAUCCCGAGGCUCAACCUCGGAACUGCCUUCGAUACUGCGGGUCUCGAGUCCGGGAGAGGUGAGUGGAAUUCCUAGUGUAGAGGUGAAAUUCGUAGAUAUUAGGAAGAACACCAGUGGCGAAGGCGGCUCACUGGCCCGGUACCGACGCUGAGGCGCGAAAGCGUGGGGAGCAAACAGG